GGGGUUGUGGCUCAGUGGUAGAGCACUCGCCUAACACGUGUGUGGCACAGGGUUUGAUUCUCAGCAACACAU
rfam:Ictidomys tridecemlineatus contig096497, whole genome shotgun sequence.